CGCGUAGGCGGCAUGACAAGUCACUUGUGAAAUCUCCGGGCUUAACUCGGAACGGCCAAGUGAUACUGUCGCGCUAGAGUGCGGAAGGGGCAAUCAGAGUUCUUGGUGUAGCGGUGAAAUGCGUAGAUAUCAAGAGGAAUACCUGAGGUGAAGACGGGUUGCUAGGCCGACACUGACGCUGAGUGCGCGAAAGCCAGGGGAGCAAACG
rnacentral:rRNA from 1 species